rnacentral:lncRNA from 1 species
UCUGCCAAAAGAAAUUAGCCUCCCAUUACAAGCAUUAACAUCUCUCUCUUUUUUUCUUUUUUUCGGAAAACAGGGGAUGCCCUAUUUCCUUCUUUCUCUUUUUCCUUCAACCCCGCAGCCGCCUCCUCUGUUCCCUUCCUUCAACCGCAGCAGCCCCCGCCUCCUCUGUUCUUCCUCUUCUUCUCCCCAAAUGAGCCUCUACCCUCCUCCCAGCCGAGAGAGAUCCUUAUAUAGUUCGUGAGAGCCCUAUUGCUCGCCGGAAAAUGGGCGCGGAUGGCUGUGGAGGAGCUGAUUGCGGAUGCUGGAAACCCUGGGCGGUGAUCGCGGGAGCUGGAGCUUGGACGAUCGGGAUAAAUGGGGCUGAGAGGUAAUCGCGGCUGGAUCCGGUGCUGAGAAUGGACGCGAUGGAGGAUCGCCACAGACGCUGGGAUCAUGAACAUGGGAGAAUCACGCUGAGAGCUGGACGCGUGAAUGGAGGAGGCGGACGCUGGGGCUGCGCGUGAGGAUCACUGGAGACGCUUCAUGAGAGGCUCGCACGGGAUCUGGAGGCUUGAUACGGGUGCUCCGCGGAUGCUUGGGAGGUGAUCGCGGUCAAGACGGGAUUGCUGGGAGAAGAGGAUCGGACGCCGUGGAUGAAGCGGACGCUGGGAUUGGGAGGUUGAGGACGCGGUCAAGACGGGAAGGGAGCUGAUCACUGGUGCGGAUGGAAUCAGGAUGCUAGGAUUGGGUGUGGGAGAUCAGAUCACAAAUCCUGGCUCACGGAUGGCUGGAAGCUUGAGUUGCAUUGCGGAAUUUGGGGAGUCG